rnacentral:rRNA from 1 species
CAGCCGCCACGGGAAUACAGAGGGUGCGAGCGUUAAUCGGAUUUACUGGGCGUAAAGCGUGCGUAGGCGGCUUCUUAAGUCGGAUGUGAAAUCCCUGAGCUUAACUUAGGAAUUGCAUUCGAUACUGGGAAGCUAGAGUAUGGGAGAGGAUGGUAGAAUUCCAGGUGUAGCGGUGAAAUGCGUAGAGAUCUGGAGGAAUACCGAUGUCGAAGGCAGCCAUCUGGCCUAAUACUGACGCUGAGGUACGAAAGCAUGGGGAGCAAACAGGAUUAGAUACCCCAGUAGUCCCUGUCUCUUAUAC